rnacentral:misc_RNA from 1 species
UAACUGCGAUAAGUAAUGUGAAUUGCAGAAUUCAGUGAAUCAUCGAAUCUUUGAACGCACCUUGCGCUCCUUGGUAUUCCUUGGAGCAUGCCUGUUUGAGUAUCAUGAAAUCUUCAAAGUAAAUCUUUUGUUAACUCAAUUGGUUUCUACUUUGGUAUUGGAGGUCUUUGCAGCUUCACACCUGCUCCUCUUUGUUCAUUAGCUGGAUCUCAGUGUUAUGCUUGGUUCCACUCGGCGUGAUAAGUUAUCUAUCGCUGAGGACACUGUAAAAGGUGGCCAAGGUAAAUGCAGAUGAACCGCUUCUAAUAGUCCAUUGACUUGGACAAUACUUUUAUGAUCUGAUCUCAAAUCAGGUAGGACUACCCGCUGAACUUAAGC